UACAGAGGUGGCAAGCGUUGUUCGGAAUACUGGGCGUAAAGCGUGCGCAGGCGGUUCGUUGUGUCGGCGGUGAAAUCCCCGGGCUCAACCUGGGAAUGGCCGUUGAAACUGGCGAACUGGAGUGUGGCAGAGGGGGGUGGAAUUCCGCGUGUAGCAGUGAAAUGCGUAGAGAUGCGGAGGAACACCGAUGGCGAAGGCAGCCCCCUGGGCUGACACUGACGCCUCAGGCACGAAAGCGUGGGGAGCAAACAGG
rnacentral:rRNA from 1 species